rnacentral:misc_RNA from 1 species
UCUGGCUUAUAGCCAAGCGGUCUCACUAGAGUGCCCAACUUAAUGCUGGCAACUAGCGACGAGGGUUGCGCUCGUUGCGGGACUUAACCCAACAUCUCACAACACGAGCUGACGACAGCCAUGCAGCACCUGUCUCGGCGUCCCCGAAGGGAACCCCGACUUUCAUCGGGUAGCACCGGAUGUCAAGCCUAGGUAAGGUUUUUCGCGUAGCAUCGAAUUAAACCACAUGCUCCACCGCUUGUGCGGGCCCCCGUCAAUUCCUUUGAGUUUUAAUCUUGCGACCGUACUUCCCAGGCGGGAUACUUAAUGCGUUAGCUACGUUACCGAAACUAUUAGGAAUUCCGACAACUAGUAUCCAUCGUUUAGGGCGUGGACUAC